rnacentral:misc_RNA from 1 species
GUAUUGUAUUGCGUUAAACGCGACAUACAUUCCAUGAGACUUUGUUACGGUGUGUGUGUAAAGAAGUAGGACCACGGCGAGAGGGACAGAGUCCCCAAGGCCAUAGAACUACAGAGGGUGCACAGGUGUGAGUGGAUGUGUAAACAGAGUGUGCACGUGCCCCUUUUCAAGGACCAGCAACAACUCGUGUCGACGGUUCAGUAAUGAUCCUUCCGCAGGUUCACCUACGGAAA